rnacentral:rRNA from 1 species
UACGGGGGGGGUAAGCGUUGUUCGGAAUUACUGGGCGUAAAGAGCUCGUAGGCGGUUUGUCACGUCUGCUGUGAAAACUCGGGGCUUAACUCCGGGCCUGCAGUGGGUACGGGCAGACUAGAGUGCGGUAGGGGAGACUGGAAUUCCUGGUGUAGCGGUGAAAUGCGCAGAUAUCAGGAGGAACACCGGUGGCGAAGGCGGGUCUCUGGGCCGUAACUGACGCUGAGGAGCGAAAGCGUGGGUAGCGAACAGG